UUGGGCAAAUAAGCAAGCAUUUAAUGACUCAAGCCACAUUUGUAAGUGCACCAAUAUAUUCUUCUUAGGGGUUGCUAUACUGUGGGAAAGUCACAUGAUGCAGCAUCUGAAGACACAAAGUCUCAAGACCUAGGUUCUAGCCCUGGUACACUUUCUCACUGUGAGAUGCUGGCCAUACUAGCUCAACUCCCUGGGCUUCUUUUCUGCAAAAUGUGGGAGAGACCUUGCAGGUUAUCAUGAGGAUGAAGUAAGAUAAAGUAAAGCAUAUAAAUACAUAUAGAACACAACUAAGAGGGACAAGGGAAAACACUCCUAUCAGGUUUUAUGGUUUGCAGGAAAAUGGUUCUGCCUUCCGUAAAUCCCAUUCCAGGAUAGAACUUUAAAAAGUACUAUACCAGGGGUCCCCAACCCCCGGGCUGCGGACUGGUUCUGGUCUGUGGCCUGCUAGAAACCUAGCUGCACAGCAGGAGGUGAGCAGCAGGCGGGCAAAGAGCAUUACUGCCUGAGCUCCGCCUCCUGUCAGAUCAACUGCAGCAUUAGAUGCUCACAGGAGCACAAACCCUAUUGUCAACUGCACAUGCAAGGAUCUAGGUUGUGUACUCCUUAUGCGAAUCUAACUAAUGCCUGAUGAUCUGAGGUGGAACAGUUUCACCCCGAAACCAUCUCCCCUAUCUGGCCAUGGAAAAAUUGUCUUCCAUGAAACCGGU
rnacentral:lncRNA from 10 species